rnacentral:rRNA from 1 species
CCUACGGGUGGCAGCAGUGGGGAAUUUUGGACAAUGGGCGCAAGCCUGAUCCAGCCAUGCCGCGUGUCUGAAGAAGGCCUUCGGGUUGUAAAGGACUUUUGUCAGGGAAGAAAAGGCUGUUGCUAAUAUCGACAGCUGAUGACGGUACCUGAAGAAUAAGCACCGGCUAACUACGUGCCAGCAGCCGCGGUAAUACGUAGGGUGCGAGCGUUAAUCGGAAUUACUGGGCGUAAAGCGAGCGCAGACGGUUACUUAAGCAGGAUGUGAAAUCCCCGGGCUCAACCUGGGAACUGCGUUCUGAACUGGGUGACUAGAGUGUGUCAGAGGGAGGUAGAAUUCCACGUGUAGCAGUGAAAUGCGUAGAGAUGUGGAGGAAUACCGAUGGCGAAGGCAGCCUCCUGGGAUAACACUGACGUUCAUGCUCGAAAGCGUGGGUAGCA